UGCACCUAAGAAUCCGGAUAUUGAGAACCAAGAGAAAUGCAGGAGCAAUCUUGUCGGCUUGAAGAGCUACGUCUGCCAUCGUUUGUGACUCCAAAAGUUUAAUUAAAUCAACCAAAAAGAUUAAUUUAUUGUAUAACGGUCAGGUUAGGUUGGGUAAUUGUAACGCCCCAAAAUUCAAAUUAUCUAGUUGUUAUAUGUUAGCACGUUUAAAAAAAAAGAAACAGAAUAACUAGGUUAUUAAACCUAGUUAAAAGUUUGGUUAAAAUAAAUAAGGAUAAGAAAUCUAGUUAUAUAAUGAAUAGGUUACAAACAUGAGGGGUGGUUUUUGAAUAAAUAGAAAGAUUAUAUAUAAAAUAAAAAUAAAAACCCCAACUACCCAUAUCUGGGCGUGGAACGAUCGAACAGAGAGGAGAAAGAAAGGGGUGAAACCCUGAUUCAUGAGCAGACCUUCAAAUUGAAAGGGGAAUUGAAGCCUAGUUAAUGCAUGAACUAAGAAUGAUGAUCCUCUAAGCAUACCCAACAUCAAAAUUGAUUCAUGUACCGCACGAGCAUGGAAAGCAAGUGGUAAAGAAAAGAGGAAGCAAGGCAACGGAAGCAUGUACGAAACGGACACUCGAGGUAAGUGAUUCUAAUUUCACUUCUUAGCUUGUUUAAAUAAGGUAGUGUUCUAGAUAAUUGAGUAUGUUACGAAGUCAAACAUGGAUUUGGUUGAAUGAAAACGAUGGUUCUCGCUAAGUAGAUCGAAUGGGUCAAAUGAGGUUUUGUUGUCAUAACAUAAUGAAGUGUAAGUAAGUUCCGAACCUCUUUUUAGUAUUUAGAAAUAUUUGUUAAUUUUGUCAUAUGUUGCAAAUAGUGAGAUAUCUAAGAACGUAAGAUCAAAUGAGGUUCUAAGUUUAAUUUUGUGGUAAUUGGUCAAAAAUGUUAACUAAGUCGGAAAGUGUGUAUUAAAGAUCAAACGGGUCAAAAACUAGGUAGCGGAGUAAGGUAAGGAUUCGACCAUUAAGGCAUGAGUGUUAGUAUUAGAAUGAUUUAGGGGCUUGGAAAAAUGUUAUUUUACGUUUUGGGACGUUCGGGGUGCACGAACAGGGGUCGAAACGGUGAAAAUAAGCAAAAAACGGAGAGCAGAUCUGCAGAGGGGCGUCCCCGACGCCGCUACCAGCGUCGCCGACGCUGGUGGGUUUUGGCCGACUCCCUAUGUUGCUAGUUAAGUCAGUUUCUUUGUUUUCUUUGAUUCUCGGGCCACGUAAGCCCAUUCCUAAGCCCCGUUAGACCCCCGUCAUGCACCCUAACUUUACCAAAUAGUUGUGUGAGUUAUGGAUGAGUAAGGAACCCGUUUUAAAGCUUCCGAAAUGCAACCCAAAUUUAAGAGAGAGUUUUUAUCAAGUAUGGGUAAGAAGGGAACUUGCUUAUGGGUAUGCAUAAGGAUAAAAUAAGUAGUUAUACAUGUGGGUAUGUGUUUGAUUGUAUGUAUGUAAUUGGAACUCGUAGGUGAGUAUGACUAUGAACGCGUAAGUAUGGAGAUUUAUGUGUAUGUAAUUUACAUGUAUAGACGUUUGUGUUUAGGACUUGCAUGUAAUAUUGUGUAAGAUGUAAAUUGUAAGUAUUUGUACGAAUAGAAAGGUAUGUAUGCAUGGAUUGGAAUUUAAAUAUAUGCACGAAUGAAUGAGACUUGUUUAUGCGUAUAUGUGGACUUAUUCAUAUGAAUGAAAUCUAACGAUGCUAACCGUUUUUCUAUUGAGAAUCAAAUGGAAGUGCAGGUAUACAAAUAAUGGAAGUUGUAGGUUUGACACUAAAAUCCAAUGAUGGUGUUCGAAUGGAUGGAUGAAUGGAUUAACAUAAGCGAAAGCAUGAGAUGUUGACGCCUAACUAUGUAUGUUUAAAACUUAUGUAUGAUGUCACUGGUUGCUAACGAUGUGAUUGUAUGUGGUGUCUACAGGUUGCUUGGAUUUAGCAUCAUUAUGAAGGAUAGAAAGAUUGAAGAUCGAGUCACGAGCAAAGGCUUGUACGUGAAAGAUCGGUCACAUAGUUUAGCAAAUGUAGGUCCGAAGUAUUAAUAUAAUGGAACGUGGUAAAUCCUUUUUAAUGAAUGUAUGACAUUUGAUAUUCGAACUUUCCUGUAAGUACUAUGUCUAUUAAAGAACGAAAUUUUGGGUUCA